AAAGGUAAACAAUGCAUGUGCUUUGCGUGGAAAGACACUAAAUAAAAAGAGACAAGCACUUGCAGUAAUAACAAUACAGGUAAGUAGUAGACUGGAGUGGAGACGACGGAAAAACAGGUAAUAAAAGAGAUACUACACUGGAACAAAGACGAGACAAAACAGCUACAGGGAAGACUAGAAGCAUCGGCCAGCAUAGCAAAACACAAUGCUUGUAAAGACAUUGCGUUGCAUACCGGCCGACCCCGUCGUCCCCCCUGGUCGUCGAAAUUGGCGUCAUCCAGAGUCGUCAGAGGUAGCUGCAAUUAGCACCUCGUCGUCGUUGUGGCUGUGGCUGCCCUCUUGGAGAACCAGUGGCACUGGUCCGGCCACCAGCUGGGAGCCAGGAGUAGACGGCACAUAUAUUACUGUGGCGACACGGGUCCGGCCGCCAAAGUGAAAUGGAUGACCAUAGGGCACUCUGAAUGCCAUGGCACUGGAUCCGGCCACCAGCUAAGGACGAUGGCGAUGGCAUAACUCGAACGGCACAGGUCCGGCCGCCCAAGUGUAAUGGGUGCUUGUGUGUGUGUGUGU
rnacentral:misc_RNA from 1 species